rnacentral:misc_RNA from 2 species
AACGCACCUUGCGCUCCUUGGUAUUCCGAGGAGCAUGCCUGUUUGAGUGUCGUGAAAUUCUCAACCCCUUAGAUUUUAUUAUUUAAUGGGGCUUGGACUUGGAGGUUGUGUCGGCUCUAGUCAGCUGACUCCUCUUAAAUGUAUUAGCGUGAAUCUUUUACGGAUCGCCUUCAGUGUGAUAAUUAUCUGCGCUGUGGUGUUGAAGUAUCUUUAUAGUUCAUGCUUCUAAUCGUCUCUCGCGAGACAAUUACUUUGACAAUCUGGCCUCAAAUCAGGUAGGACUACCCGCUGAACUUAA